AGUGAACGCUGGCAGUAGGCCUAACACAUGCAAGACAAACGGCAGCACAGGAGAGCUUGCUCUCUGGGUGGCGAGUGGCGGACGGGUGAGGAAUACAUCGGAAUCUACUUUUUCGUGGGGGAUAACGUAGGGAAACUUACGCUAAUACCGCAUACGACCUACGGGUGAAAGCAGGGGACCUUCGGGCCUUGCGCGAUUGAAUGAGCCGAUGUCGGAUUAGCUAGUUGGCGGGGUAAAGGCCCACCAAGGCGACGAUCCGUAGCUGGUCUGGGAGGAUGAUCAGCCACACUGGAAAUGGGACACGGUCCAGACUCCUACGGGAGGCAGCAGUGGGGAAUAUUGGACAAUGGGCGCAAGCCUGAUCCAGCCAUACCGCGUGGGUGAAGAAGGCCUUCGGGUUGUAAAGCCCUUUUGUUGGGAAAGAAAUCCAGCUGGCUAAUACCCGGUUGGGAUGACGGUACCCAAAGAAUAAGCACCGGCUAACUUCGUGCCAGCCGCCGCCGUAA
rnacentral:rRNA from 1 species